rnacentral:rRNA from 1 species
UACGUAGGUGGCAAGCGUUGUCCGGAAUUAUUGGGCGUAAAGCGCGCGCAGGUGGUUUCUUAAGUCUGAUGUGAGAGCCCACGGCUCAACCGUGGAGGGUCAUUGGAAACUGGGGAACUUGAGUGCAGAAGAGGAUAGUGGAAUUCCAAGUGUAGCGGUGAAAUGCGUAGAGAUUUGGAGGAACACCAGUGGCGAAGGCGACUAUCUGGUCUGUAACUGACACUGAGGCGCGAAAGCGUGGGGAGCAAACAGG